AGUUUAGCAGAGGUGAGCUCAGGUACAAACUUACCAGUAUCUACCCCACAUCUGGGACACAGUGAGAAGUGACACCUGUGGAAGAGGCAGAAGAAAUGAAUGUGCCAACUCCUCCCUCAGCCACUGGAGUUCACAGUCUGGCUCUUCUAAUACUGAAUGAAAUUUGGUUUUGAAGUGCAAACGUAAUUGCCCUCUGUGGUUUAUCUUAUCAGGAGUCAGACUAAAACGGAUUUGUGCUGACACCCAUGUUGAUGAUGUAUGAUGACUUCAAAGCAUGGUGAGGCAGAAGCUGAGGUGUAAAGCCCCGGAAUACCUAUAUGAAAGGAUUAUGUGACCCACCACAGCCAAAAUUCUAGGCUCUAAUUUAUCUGACUGUGAAUUUUCCUGAAAUUGUGCAUGAAGUUGAAUUUAGACUCUCACGGUGGAAUCUGACAUAGUAAGAAUUCAGCAACAUAUGACACUUUCAGCCAGCCAGAUGCAGCACAUCCUGUGGUUGCACAACCAUCUGCAUGAGAAGGAGGUAUGAAUUAGGAAGAUUUCUUAAACCACCUCCGAAGAAGUGACACUGACUGAGAAGUGGGAUGAGCUACCCCGAAAAAUGGCUAUAUUGUUACCAGGAAUCACCACAGACAGCUAAUCUACUUUGUU